rnacentral:lncRNA from 1 species
CCAUAUAUAACAUAAGACUUCUCCCCCAAUUCUGUUUAGUCGAGCUUCUCGAUCUGUCAUUAUCCCUCGAGAAGUAGAAAGAAUAGCAAUUCCCAUUCCACCCAAAACUUUAGGAAUUCCUUGAUAGUUGGUAUAAAUUCGUAAGCCGGGUCGGCUAAUACGCUUUAAAAAAGUUCUUGUUCUAUAUAUUCCUUUUCGAGUCUUUCUCUUUUGAUGUCGCAAAGUUGAAACCAAGAAAUAUCUGUUACGUUCCUGAUGUUUCCGAACACUUUCAAGAAAACCCUCUCGUAGAAGUAUUUUAACAAUGUUUUCGGUAAUAUUUGUAGAUACUACUCGAACUGUUCCUUUUUUAUUCAUGUCCGCGUUUCUUAUAGAAGUUAGUAAAUCAGCAAUAGUGUCCUUGCCCAUAAGACUCUAAUUCUAGGUUCCUCCUAAUUUUUCUAUAAUCAACAUGUUUUCUUUUUUUUUCUUUUCAUUUUGGAUUUUAAAACAUAUACGUAAAACACAAUCUACUAAUAUUAAUUCUUUGAUCUAAAUUUCGCCUACUAGUAUUUAUAAUACUUCAGGAGCUAAUGAAACUAUUUUGGUAAAAUUCAAUUCUCUCAAUUCCUCGGCAAUCGCGCCAAAAACUCGAGUUCCUUUUGGGUUGCCUUUUUGAUCAAUUAUAACCGCAGCAUUGUCAUCAUAGCGGAUUAUUAUACCGUCUUCGCAUUUGAAUUCUUUACAUGUACGUACAAUUACAGCUCGAAUUACUUCGGAUCUUUCUAGAGGCAUUUGGGGCAAUGCGUCUUUGAUUACAGCAACAAUAACAUCACCAAUACGAGCAUAUCGCUGAUUACCAGCAGCUCCUAUGACUCGAAUACACAUCAAUUUUCGAGCUCCACUAUUGUCUGCUACAUUUAAAAGGGUCUGAGGUUGAAUCAUAUUAUUUUGAUUUCAAUUUGUUAUUUCAAUGCAAAAGGAUGAAAGAAAUAUUGUCUUUCCAGAAAGAAAAACCGGGCAUUUUUUUUCUUCCAUACCCCUUUUAGGGUUCUAUAUCUCUAAUCGAAUAAAUUGACUUCGUAUGGGCAUUUUACUGGCCGCUAUGGAGAUAGCUGCUCUAGCUACAGUUUCAGAUACUCCCCCCAUUUCAUAAAGUAUACGACCUGGUUUAACAACGGCUACCCAAUAUUCGGGGGACCCCUUUCCCGAGCCCAUACGUGUUUCCGUGGGUCUUAGUGUAACCGGUUUGUCGGGAAAUAUACGUACCCAUAUUUUUCCACCACGACGUGCAUAUCGUGUUAUUGCUCUUCGUCCUGCUUCUAUCUGUCUCGCCGUGAUCCAAGCGGGUUCAAGUGCUUGAAGAGCAUAUCUACCAAAACAAAUACGAUUGCCUCGGAAGGAUUUUCCUUUCAUUCUUCCUCUAUGUUGUUUGCGAAAUCUGGUUCUUUUGGGGUUAUAGUCGAUGGUUCUCUUUCUUAGUUCCAUCUCUACUCCAAAACUGGACAUGAGAGUUUCUUCUCAUCCAGCUCCUCGCGAAUGGAAUGAGAAAGCAUGUAAAUAAAUUUCUCUAAUUCCAUAAUAUUUAAAAAUAUUACGGUACGGAUAGAUACACAUUAAUAGAUAAUAGAAAAAGUUAGGUUUUUUUUUUAUUUUUAUAUUGAAUUUGUUAAAACAGAAAAAUAUAAUAUAUAGUCAAAAAAGAAGAUCUAGAAUAUAUCCAGAUGUGUGUGGAUAUUUAUCUAAAUUCUAUAUUUAUAGAUAAUAAUGUAGUCCUUCUAAAAAAUAUCCUUAUUUUUACUCUUAUUGAAUCGCGGUAAAGUAUUCUAAUUCAAUAAGAAUUUCGCGGGCGAAUAUUUACUCUUUCCUGUCUUAUUUGUUAAUUUAUAAACUUACCAAAUAAGACAAUUUUUUUGGUUUGUUCCGCCAUCCCACCCAAUGAAGUGUUAGGAUUCUUUUCAAUAAAAUCCUAUGGAAUCAUAGGUUCUGUCGUUCCCACUGCUUCUCCUUGAAUGGUUAGGUCUGAAUCCCGCAACGGAGCUUCCAAAAAAUUUCUUUCCGAGUUAAUUUUCUCAGUUUUAUUAACCCGGGCGGCUCUUUAUUAUUGCUUAAAAUUUGUAGUUCUUCUUUCAAGUUACAAUUUUUCAUUCUCUAUUAGUUUUAUUAUAUUGAUGCUUUUUCACAUUGCCUUUUAUGAUGUAAUUCAUAGACCAUACACAGUGGAAUUCUAUAUCUUAUUUAUUUCCUCUUCCUUCUUUCUAUCAUCCCUCCCUUUAUCCACAUCCCUUUAGUUUUGCUUCACAACCUAGAAUCCCAUUUUUUUUUUAGAUAAAAAAGUGCAGUUGCUACAACUAUAUGACACAUCUACUCAUUUAUGAUAGAGGUAUUUAUUCAUAUAGUGACUGUUUCUUAGUUAGGAUCUCGACAAUACGAAGCAAUAGGUUGGUUAUUAGUAUUAGUUAAUUUUCUAUAAUUACUAAGUUUUUUUCUUUAAAAAAGAAAAAAAAAUAACGAGUCACACACUAAGCAUAGCAAUUAUAUUAAAUGAUUUAUCAAUUUUCAUUAAAUCUUAUAGAAAGAGGUAGAAUUUCUUCUUUUGCAGGGAUUUCAGGAAAAAAGUCUCUUGUCAUUUUUUAUUCUAUCAAUGGACAGAAUUCGAAGACAAGAUUAGUUAUUCUUCGUCUACGAAUAUCCAAAUUUUUACACCUAAUACUCCAUAGAUAGUUCGAAUUGGAUAGCAGCAAUAAUCAAUUUUAGCGCGGAUUGUUUGGAGGGGAAGUCUGCCCCUUUUAAUGGAUUCGGCACGUGCAAUUUCUUUUCCUCCGAGACGACCCGCAAUUUUUACUUUUACUCCCCUUAUAUCUGCUUUUUUAGUUAAUUCAAUGGCUUUUUUCAUUGCCUUUCGGAAUGAAACUCUAUUUUUUAAUUGGAAAGCUAUAUAUUCUGCAAGAAUGUUAGGCUGUCUAUAAGGUUCUUUAACUUUUUCGAUAGAAAUAUUAAAUCUCUGGUUUACAGAGUUAAUUUCCUUUUGUAGAUCUUUCUCUAAUUCUUCGAUUGCUCCUUUUUUCUUUAAUAAAUUUGGGAAUCCAAUAUGGAUUAUGACGUGGAUCGUAUCGAUUUCUUUUUGAAUUUCUAUAUGUGUAAUUACUUCGGAACUUGAACCUGAGUCCAUUUUUCUAUUAUGUGUAAUUACUUCGGAACUUGAGUCUGAUUCUAUUUUUCUAUUCGAGCCCUUUUUCCUAUUCUUUUGUAUAUAGUUCUUGAUACAAUCCCUUAUUUUUUUAUCUUCCUGUAGACCUUCAGAAUAAUUUUUUGGUUGUGCGAACCAAAAGGAAUGGUGUUUUUGGGUUGUACCAAGUCUGAAACCGAGUGGAUUUAUUUUUUGUCCCAUAUUUUUCUAUUCUAUAUUUUUUUUUACUGGGAAUCGAAAUCUUAGAUGGAUCUAAAGGUUAUUUAGAUUUCUUUACUAUAUUUAGUACAAUUGUUAUAUGACACAUGCUUUUUUUUAUAGGGAAACUACGUCCUCGAGCUCGAGGUCUGAAUUUCUUCAUAAUAGUACUCCUACUGACUUCGGCUUUAGUAAUGAAUAAAUUCGCUUUGUCGAAAUCCCUAUAAUGAGUUGCAUUUGCGGCUGCCGAAUAAACCAACUUUAAGAUGGGAUAAGAUGCUCGAUAGGGCAUGAGGUUCAGUAUCAUAACAGUUUCCUCGUAGUAACGCCACCGAAUCUCGUCAAGAACUCUUUGUGCUUUGAAAACAGACAUAGGGAUACGUUUUUGUGCUUUGAAAACUCUCUCGAACUUAAGUAGACGAUCGGUUGGAACUUUCCUUGCGAGUUUCCUUAGCCCACUUUUCUUCUUCUUUAUCCUAGGGAUAUACUUUACUAGUUUGAAACUUGUCAUAAAUAAGUUUAUUCCCCGCCUACCUUUACUUUAUUUUGAAUCUUUUUUUUCUUCUUAAUCUUUCUAUUCAGAAUUCAGUUAACGACGAGAUUUAGUAUCCUUUCUUGCAUUUUCAUAACUCGUAAAAUGCCGAGUAGGCACGAAUUCUCCCAAUUUGCGACCUACCAUAGGAUUUGUUAUGUAAAUAGGUAUAUGUUCCUUUCCAUUAUGAAUCGCAAUUGUAUGGCCAACCAUUGUGGGUAGAAUGCUAGAUGCCCGGGACCACGUUACUAUUGUUUCUUUCUCCUCCUUCAUAUUGACCUUUUCUAUCUUUGCCAAUAAAUGAUGAGCUACAAAAGGAUUCGUUUUUUUUCGUGUCACAGCUGAUUACUCCUUUUUUCCUUUUUAAAGAGUGGCAUUCUAUGUCCAAUAUCUCGAUCGAAGUACGGAGGUCAGAAUAAAUAGAAUAAUGAUCAACGGAAAAAAGAAAAAAAUCCUUUAGCUGGAUAAGGGGCGGAUGUAGCCAAGUGGAUCAAGGCAGUGGAUUGUGAAUCCACCAUGCGCGGGUUCAAUUCMCGUCGAUCGACCAUCGCAUUAUUGCACGUUCGANNNNNNNNNNNNNNNNNNNNNNNNNNNNNNNNNNNNNNNNNNNNNNNNNNNNNNNNNNNNNNNNNNNNNNNNNNNNNNNNNNNNNNNNNNNNNNNNNNNNGUUGUUUCCUUAUUCUUUUAUUAUAUGAAUUUGAAUUGGUUCUUAAUUGAUUCGAUUUGAGAAUUUUUAAAUACGAGGAUAAGAUGUCAGAAAUCUUGGUAUCCAAAGAAAGGUCCCUAAGGGGCAUUCUUCUCUUUUUCAAUCUAAGAUUCCAGAAGGGACUCCACGAAAGWMKAUCAAGACUUCCUAAUUAUCAUACAUUUUUUAUCGUACAUCUUAUGUGACCUACAUACACUAGAGUAACAAAAGGAAUAAAAAAUCUUCCUAUUCCCGCUUCUUCUAUUCAGGACAUCAUUCCCGUACUCUUUCUUUUUAAGGUAAGGAAAAAGGGCUUUAUAGUAUCGUAUUUUUAAUGCUCUCUAAUUCUACAAGAAUUCCUAUAAGAAUUUGUUAGGAGUAAAUUCCUUGAACUGAUUGAUCCAUGGCCUUAGGGCAGAAGCCCUUUUUGACUCUGUACCCUUGAUUCCACUAUGAUUAUUGAUCAAUAGUAGAAUAAUCCCUUCAUAGAAAUAGGAGACAUAAUUUAGAUGGAUAUAGUAAGUCUCGCUUGGGCUGCUUUAAUGGUAGUCUUUACGUGAUCGANNNNNNNNNNNNNNNNNNNNNNNNNNNNNNNNNNNNNNNNNNNNNNNNNNNNNNNNNNNNNNNNNNNNNNNNNNNNNNNNNNNNNNNNNNNNNNNNNNNNUCGAUCACGUGAUGGGUCUUUUCUAUAUGGGUUGCCCGGGACUCGAACCCGGAACUAGUCGGAUGGAGUAGAUAAUUCUUCCUUGUUACAAUAGAGAAAAAUCCCUCCCCAAAUCGUGCUUGCAUUUUUCAUUGCACACGACUUUCCCUAUGUAGAAAUAGCCAAUAUUCUAUUCCAAAGAGGAAGUUCUACUAAUUUUUUAAUUAGUAAGUUGAUUCACCUACUCUUUAUUAUAAUAAAAGGAACAUUUCAGAAUGAAAAAUAUGAAAGUUUUUUCUUGAUCAUUUAUCAACCCUUUCCUGUUUAUUAGUUUUGUCUAAUGAUUAAUUAAGAGGGUUGACCAGGUCAUUGAUACCUAUAAUAUCCAAAUACCAAAUACGCUCAGUGUGUGAUCCACUGAAAGAAAAAAGAGUUGUUUUGGUGAACAUCAAAGAAAAAACUUGCUCUUCUUCCGUAAAAAUUCUUCUAAAAAUGCCGAACCCAAUCGUUGCAUAAAAGUUCGUACCGUGCUUUUAUGUUUACGAGCUAAAGUUCUAGCGCAUGAAAGUCGAAGUAUAUACUUUAGUCGAUACAAAGUCCGUUUUUUCGAAGAUCCACUAUGAUAAUGAAAAAGAUUUCUACAUAUCCGACCAAAUCGAUCAAGAAUAUCCCAAUCUGAUAAAUCCGUCCAAAUGGGUUUACUAAUAGGAUGCCCCGAUCCAGUACAAAAUUGAGCUUUUGAUAAGUAUCCUAUGAGGAGAGUAGCGGGGACUAUGGUAUCGAAUUUUUUCAUUCGAGUAUCUAUGAGAAAUGAAUUCUCCAGCAUUUGAUUCCUUACCAACAAAGGACUUUUUGGUACACUUGAAAGGUAUCCCAUAAAAUCGAAGCAAGAGUUUGCUAAUUGGUUUAUAUGGAUUCUUCGCGGCUGAGUCCAAAAAAGAAAUAAUAUUGCCAGAAAUUGAUAAGGUAGCAUUUCCAUUUCUUUUUCAAAAAAACUGCCUUUUGAUGCAAGAAUUGCCUUUCCUUGAUAUCGAACAUAAUGUAUAAGAGGAUCCAUAAAGAACCAUAAGGUUUUCCGAGAAAAACCAGGGUACAUUAUCCCAAAAUGUUCCAUCUUCCUAGAAAAGUGGAUUCGUUCCAGAAAAGUUCCAGAAUAUGCUAAUGGUAAGCAAGAAGAUUGUUUACGAAGAAACAACAAGAAAAUUCAUAUUCUGAUACAUAAGAGUUAUAUAGGAAUUUAACUAGUCUUUUAUUUUCUUUUUGAAAAAAGAAUGGAUUUCAUUGAAGUAAUAAAACUAUUCCAAUUCGAAUAGUAGUUGAGAAAGAAUCGCAAUAAAUGCAAAGAUGGAACAUCUUGGAUACGGUAUUGAAGGAGUUGAACCAAGAUUUCCAAAUGGAUAGGAUAGGGUAUUUCUAUAUGUGAUAGAUAAUCCAAAUGCAAAAAUUUGUCUUCUAAAAAGGGAAAUAUUGAAUGAAUAGAGCGUAAAUUCUGAAACUUUGGUAUUUCUUUUUCUUUCGGACAAGAUAAUUCCCGUAGCGAGAAUGGGAUUUCCACAACAAUCGCAAACCCCUCAGAUAGAAUCUGAGAAUAAAACUCAGAAUAAAAAAAAAUUUUGUAAUCCAAUAAUCGAUCUUGAUUAGGAUNNNNNNNNNNNNNNNNNNNNNNNNNNNNNNNNNNNNNNNNNNNNNNNNNNNNNNNNNNNNNNNNNNNNNNNNNNNNNNNNNNNNNNNNNNNNNNNNNNNNUCGAUCACGUGCGUUCGGCUAGAGAAUGACACCAUCAUCCUAGGCUAUAUUUCAGGAAAGAUCCGGUCUAGUUCUAUACGAAUACUGAUGGGGGAUAGGGUCAAAAUUGAAGUAAGUCGUUAUGAUUCAAGCAAGGGACGUAUAAUUUAUAGACUUCCCCAUAAGGAUUCGAAGCGUAUCGAAGACUCGAAGGAUAGCGAAGAUUUGAAGGAUAGCGAAGAUUUGAAGAAUACCAAAGAUUCAAAGGAUUAGGUUUUUCUUUUUUUUUCUAGGGUAAUAAAUUCUAAGUUCUAAAAUUCAAGCGAAGAGACUUAUUUUUUUCCAAAAUAUUAGAUUCAUAGUUUAAAAAAGGAUACGGAAAUAUGAAAAUAAGAGCUUCCGUUCGUAAAAUUUGUACAAAAUGUCGACUGAUUCGUAGGCGUGGACGAAUUAGAGUGAUUUGCUCUAAUCCGAAGCAUAAACAAAGACAGGGGUAAUCUUUCGAAAAAGAACUUUACUGUCUAAAAAGUAAAAAAAAAGUACCCGCGGAAAUGUUCCAAUUCCAAAUAAAAUAAUUUCAAAUAAUUAAAGUAAAGGGUGUAUUUUACCCUGAAACGGAUAUCUUUGUAUCUUUUUUUUUAUUUCUAACUCAUAUUUAUGAGAUAAUAAAAUAUGGCAAAAGCUAUACCAAAAAUUGGUUCACGUAAGAAAGUGCGUAUUGGUUUACGUAGGAAUGCACGUUUUAGUUUACGGAAGAGUGCACGUAGAAUAACAAAAGGGGUUAUUCAUGUUCAAGCUAGUUUCAACAAUACCAUUAUAACUGUUACAGACCCACAAGGUCGGGUGGUUUUCUGGUCCUCGGCCGGUACUUGUGGAUUCAAAAGCUCAAGAAAAGCAUCACCCUAUGCUGGUCAAAGAACAGCAGUAGAUGCUAUUCGUACAGUAGGUUUGCAACGAGCAGAAGUUAUGGUAAAGGGCGCUGGUAGUGGAAGAGAUGCCGCAUUACGAGCCAUUGCUAAAAGUGGUGUGCGAUUAAGUUGUAUACGCGAUGUAACACCUAUGCCGCAUAAUGGAUGUCGACCACCUAAAAAAAGACGUCUGUAAAAGAAUUAACCCGCUUUCAACUUUCAAGAGAAAUAAACGAUUCAAUGAUAAAAUAAUAAUACUAGUCUAUUAUGGUUCGAGAGGAGGUAGCAGGAUCCACUCAAACACUACAGUGGAAGUGUGUUGAAUCAAGAGUAGAUAGUAAGCGUCUUUAUUAUGGUCGUUUCAUUCUGUCCCCGCUUAGAAAAGGUCAAGCGGACACCGUUGGUAUUGCCUUGCGAAGAGCUUUACUUGGCGAAAUAGAAGGAACAUGUAUCACACGUGCAAAAUUUGGGAGCGUGCCACACGAAUAUUCUACAAUAGCAGGUAUUGAAGAAUCCGUACAAGAAAUUUUACUAAAUUUGAAAGAAAUUGUAUUGAGAAGUAAUCUCUAUGGAGUUAGAGACGCAUCAAUUUGCGUCAAAGGUCCUAGAUACAUAACUGCUCAAGAUAUCAUCUUACCGCCUUCCGUAGAAACCGUUGAUACGGCACAACCUAUAGCUAACUUGACAGAGCCCAUUGAUUUCUGUAUUGAUUUACAGAUCAAGAGAGAUCGUGGAUAUCAGACAGAACUCAGAAAGAACUAUCAAGAUGGAAGUUAUCCUAUAGAUGCUGUAUCCAUGCCUGUUCGAAAUGUGAAUUAUAGUAUUUUUUCUUGUGGGAAUGGAAAUGAAAAACACGAGAUACUUUUUCUAGAAAUAUGGACUAAUGGAAGUUUAACCCCUAAGGAAGCGCUUUAUGAGGCUUCUCGUAAUUUGAUUGAUUUAUUUCUUCCUUUUCUACACGCCGAGGAAGAGGGCACUAGUUUCGAAGAAAAUAAAAACAGGUUUACUCCACCCCUUUUUACUUUUCAAAAAAGAUUAACUAAUCUAAAGAAAAACAAAAAAGGAAUUCCAUUGAAUUGUAUUUUUAUUGAUCAAUUAGAAUUAACUUCUAGAACAUAUAAUUGUCUAAAAAGGGCCAAUAUACAUACACUAUUGGACCUUUUGAGUAAGACUGAAGAAGAUCUUAUGAGAAUUGACAGUUUUCGUAUGGAAGAUAGAAAACAUAUAUGGGACACUCUAGAGAAGCAUCUCCCAAUUGAUUUACUUAAGAAUAAACUCUCGUUUUAAAUCCAUUGCAAUUUUUUUUCUUCUUCUUUUUCGAGUUAGAAUAGAAUAAAAAGAAAAAAGAAAACAAUUUUGCAUCUUUGGUACAAUCUAUAUUUUCGCGAAAUGGAUCAUAAUAAAAUAAUAAAAUGGAUUUUAGGUAUCUAGGGAAGAUUCUACUUGGAAGUAACUAUUUCCUAGAUACCUAUGGUACUUCAUGGUUGAAUGAAUCAAAAAAAAUCUAAAAAAGACCUAAAGUUAACGAUUUAUCAAUGGGUAGUGUUGCUCCAAUACCUAACCAAAGAGCUACUACAGUACCGAUUAAAAAAACGGUCGUAGCUACUGGGCGGCGAAAUGGAUUUUGGAAUUUAUUGACAUUCUCUAGAAAAGGUACUGUCAAUAAGCCUGUUGGCACAGAAACCAUUAAGAGAACGCCCAAUAACUUAUUGGGUACCGUACGGAGUAUUUGAAACACGGGAAAGAAGUACCACUCGGGUAAUAUUUCCAAAGGAGUUGCAAACGGGUCUGCCGGUUCACCAAUCAUUGAUGGCUCGAGAACCGCUAAACCUACAUUACAUGCAAUAGUACCUAGAAUUACUACUGGAAAAAUAUAUAAAAGAUCGUUGGGCCAUGCGGGUUCCCCGUAAUAAUUAUGUCCCAUCCCUUUAGCUAAUUUAGCUCUUAAUACAGGAUCAUUUAAGUCUGGUUUCUUUGUUAUUGGGAUAGGUGAACUCUUUAGGAUCCAUCCCCCAAAGGAACCGGACAUGAGAAUUUAUCAUCAUCCGGCUCGAGCAAGAGUGAAAGAAAUAAGACCGCGGAAGAUCCUUAAUAGAAUUAAGGUAUAUAAUGACUCAAUGACUCUAGACAAAAAAAGCUUUAUCAGAUUCUCUUUUCCAAAGUUGCACCUACCACUACUCAUUGAAAAUAAUCCUAUUCUUAUGGGUAAAUGCUCAAUAUCCAAGUGGGCUUACAAAUUUGAUCGAUGAUCAAUUGCUUUGUGGAUUGUCUCAUGUCUCUUGAUUAGUUGGUAUUUAUCMCSUSAMKAUCGCAAGUUUCUUACCUCCAAACAAAAUAUUUACUUGUUACUAAUAAAAAAUCAAAAAGUUUAGCCUACAUUCUUCCUUAGAUCCCUUCUUUUACUCCGAUAGUAUUGCGGAUCACAAUCGAUGCAAAGAAAAUGAAUGCAUUUCCAUACUAUGAUCGANNNNNNNNNNNNNNNNNNNNNNNNNNNNNNNNNNNNNNNNNNNNNNNNNNNNNNNNNNNNNNNNNNNNNNNNNNNNNNNNNNNNNNNNNNNNNNNNNNNNUCGAUCACGUAAAUUGGAUUUGUUUCGUACAUUUAUCUAUGAGAAAAUCCGGGGGUCAGAAUUCUUUCCAGUUUGAAAGUCCCAAAUGAUCCAAGGGAGCGGAAAGAGAGGGAUUCGAACCCUCGGUACAAAAAAUUGUACAACGGAUUAGCAAUCCGCCGCUUUAGUCCACUCAGCCAUCUCUCCACGUUCCAAAGCGAAAGGUUUCCGUGAUAUGAUAUAGGCAAGAAAUAAGAAAUAACGGUUGCAAAAAACCCCUUUUUUUCUUUCAAAAGUCUAUAAAAAUUAUAUUGCCAAUUCCAUUUUAGUUAUAUUCUUUUUUCUUAAUGUUAAUAAAAAAAGAAGAAAAUUCUUGUUUUUUCUUUGUAAAAAUCGAUAUUGACCGAGAGACAAUCAAAUAGAUUUUCUCUUUAGCGGGCAUUUCCAUAUAGGACUUGUUAUAAUUAUAAUAAAACAAGCUAUAUAUAAAAAAACGCUUUUUUUUUUUUGUCGAUUAUUUAUCAAGAAAGCAAAAAGGGUUCUUAUCAAAUCCACCAUAAAAAUUGGAAAGAAGCAUAAAGUAAGUAGACCUGACUCCUUGAAUGAUGCCUCUAUCCGCUAUUCUGAUAUAUAAAUUCGAUGUAGAUGAAAUUGUAUAAGCGAAUUUUUCGUAUUUCCUUAGACUUAGACCGCGCAAGACAAGAAUUUUUCGCUAUUUACGAUUUCAUAUUCUUGUUACUAGAUGUUCUAUAGGAAUAAGAAGAAAUCGCAACUCCUUUGCGCUACACAUAAAAAUUGAUUUCGAAGGUCCUUUUUUUUUCAGAAUCCUCCAUUUUAGUUCUUCCCCCCAUGCAAUAGAGAGGGAAUGGGAAAAAAGGGGUUACUUUUAUUUUCAUUUUUCCCUUAAAAGAUAGACUUUGAAAUAGGAGUCUUGGAAUAAUGCUGAAUUCAAAGGUUUAUUUCUAUAAGUAUAAGAUAAGAAAAACAAAUCGAAUCAAAUUCAUGGAUUUACAACGACCUCGGUUGUGACUCCAUAGAUAAAAAAUGGAAAAUUUCUCUCUUCGAGACCAUUGAAAAAGGGCAUUGAACGAGAAAGAAAUCGUCCACAGAUAUAAAACUAUCAUAUGCCUUGGAAAGUGAUAUGAGGUGCUCGGAAAUGGUUGAAGUAAUUGAAUAGGAGGAUCACUAUGACUAUAGCCCUUGGUAGAGUUCCUAAAGAAGAAAUUGAUCUAUUUGAUACUAUGGAUGACUGGUUACGNNNNNNNNNNNNNNNNNNNNNNNNNNNNNNNNNNNNNNNNNNNNNNNNNNNNNNNNNNNNNNNNNNNNNNNNNNNNNNNNNNNNNNNNNNNNNNNNNNNNUGUAAGGGGCCAUUUUAGGAUUCCAUUUCUUAAUACCAUGACCAAAWUGAACUCCUGCUUCUAUCAUCUCUUUCMAAUUAAUGUUCCAAUAUCUUCUUGUCAUUUUUUCCACACUUCCUUUUUUUUCAUCCUAACAUUCCAUUACGGAAUUUAUUUCUUUUUGAAGAUUAAGAAAGAUCCGAAAUAGCUUGAAAUAAAUAAAAUAAUAAUUGUUCUGAGAGAACCUUGUACUAAGAGUUGGCCAUUGAUACAUUGAUACAUGGUAUAAACAAAACCUUAAUUUAAUGAAUUAACUGACUUGUUUUACUUAUUAAAAUAAAAAUCUUAAAAAUCUAAAAUUUAACCUGUUAGUGUUCUAAGUUCAAAAGUCUAGUAAAGUAAAAAAUAUGUUUUAUGUAUCCUUAGGGUUAAAUGUUAAAUGGGGGUUUUUAUGUCUCAUAAAAAUUGUUUGUUACGUCAGAAUCUGAAGAAACUAAUUCUGUAUGGAGAAACAAAAAAUCUCUCAUUUCCGACGCGAAUAGAUUUUUUUUUUAUUUCGAAAUAAAGGUUCUUGUCUUGUGGGGAACGAUGCACAAAUUUUUGGAAUCCGGUACCAACAGGUAUAAUCCCCCCCAGAACUACGUUUUCUUUCAAGCCUUUCAACCAAUCAAUGCGACCUCGUAGGGCAGCUUUUGCUAAAACUCGAGCAGUUUCUUGAAAACUUGCUUCAGAUAUGAAACUUUGGGUAUUCAGGGAAGCCCUUGUUAUUCCCAAUAAGAUUGCCCGAUAAUAGAUCGAUUCAUCCAAAGCUCGCCCUGCUCGUUCCGCUCGCAAUAGUCCGAUUAAUUCCCCAGGCGAAAAACAUUAGACAUUCCAUCUUCGGAAACCCGCACUUUUGAUGUUACUUGGCGUAUAAUAAUCUCUAUAUGUCUAUUAUGGAUCUGUACCCCUUGGGAUCGAUAAACCUUUUGGAUUUUAUUAACCAAAGAAAUACGACUUUGGGCUAUGGUUAGCUCAGCUCCAAUCAAGAAUCCCCAAGGGACCCCAAGAAUUCUUGGUAUACGCGUCAUUCCAAUCCUCAAUUCUCCUUUCGAGAUUGGGGGAUAAUGAAUCAAUUGAACGCGCUUACGUGAUCGACCACUUUUGGAAGACCUUGCGUUAUGUCACUAGAUCUCGAUUUUUCAUAUAUAAACGUAACUAACCUAUCUCCCUUGUAAAGGAUUUCUCCAUAAUGACCAUUAAANNNNNNNNNNNNNNNNNNNNNNNNNNNNNNNNNNNNNNNNNNNNNNNNNNNNNNNNNNNNNNNNNNNNNNNNNNNNNNNNNNNNNNNNNNNNNNNNNNNNUAUUACCAGUAUUCGAUACUGGGUUAUUCAUAGCAUUACUAUACCUUCCCUAUUCAUUGCGGGUUGGUUAUUUGUCAGUACGGGUUUAGCUUAUGACGUGUUUGGAAGUCCUAGGCCAAACGAAUAUUUYACGGAAAGCCGACAAGGAAUUCCGUUAAUAACCGACCGUUUUGAUUCUUUAGAACAACUCGAUGAAUUUAGUAGAUCCUUUUAGGAGGCCCUCAAUGACCAUAGAUCGAACCUAUCCUAUUUUUACAGUGCGAUGGCUGGCUAUUCACGGACUAGCUGUACCUACUGUUUUUUUCUUGGGAUCAAUAUCAGCAAUGCAGUUCAUCCAACGAUAAACCAAAUUCCAACUAUAGAACUAUGACACAAUCAAACCCGAAUGAACAAAAUGUUGAAUUGAAUCGUACCAGUCUAUACUGGGGUUUAUUACUCAUUUUUGUACUUGCUGUUUUAUUUUCCAAUUACUUCUUCAAUUGAGAGAAAGAAAGAGACUAAUAAGAAUUCUCUUAUCCCAUUUGGAAAGAUACCAUCCUUAUAACUACCCAUGACUGUUUUUGUCUCUAGCAUGACCAAUUGAUAAAAUGUGGAGGAAAGUAGGGGAAAUGGCCGAUACUACUGGAAGAAUUCCUCUUUGGCUGAUAGGUACUGUAGCUGGUAUUCCUGUGAUUGGUUUAGUAGGUGUUUUCUUUUAUGGUUCAUAUUCUGGAUUGGGUUCAUCUCUAUAGUAAUCGGAGGGACCAGAUUGUAAACAUGAAAAAGUAGGAGCUUAGCGGGUCCUUACCCCCUUUAUCUGAUUAGAGCGGAAAGGACCCGCGGAAUUUUUACUCUUAUAACGCGAAUUGAAUCUAUUCGAUUCACUCUUAUGAAGCAACAAGAAAAAGAGAUCACUCGAGGAUCCAAUAUCUUAUUCCACAAAGGAAGUAUCCUGAAAAUCCUUGAUUUAGUUUCGAGUAAUAAACUAAUAAAACCUUAAUCAAAACUAUUCAACUAGCCUAAAAAUAAAAAAAAACCUUCAAUGGAAGAGUUUACUUUUUUUUGCAAAAUUUCUGUAAGUUUGAAGUUAAACUUAAUUAAACAAGCCAAGCAAUUCUAUUUGCUUACAAUCACAAGAAAUUUGUCCCCCGCCAUAUUUUCUUCCCCUCUGUUUGUCCACUACCUCGGCUAAACCUAAGCAAAAGAAAAAGAGGCCCAAGAGACAGACCCGAAUAAAGAAGAAAUAGUAAAGUAAUCUUUGACGAAUUAGGAAGAAAAAGGAUUCUUAUUUUGAUACAAGAAGAAUCGGCACAAGAAAAAGCCUUUUUCUUGUGCCGAAUAGACGAUUAAGAAGACCUGCAAUCCCUCGAAAGAAAUUUAAAUUUUAUUGUUCUCGCCUUUGCCUUGGAUUCUCUUCUUUUGCAUGAGAUAUAAAUAAGGAAUUCCAGACAUCUCGUAAACAAAAAAAAGUCUAAACAAAAAAAGGAUUUCCAAAAAAGAUCAUAGAUAAUUCUAGCAAUUGCCAAUAAAUCGAGGCUUUUUACCAACUUGAUGGUAAGAAAUUCCGGGACCUAGAAAUUCAUUUCGUACAAUUGAACCUUUUCAAACUGUUUCUUUUUGAGAACCAAAAAAACUUGUGCCAAAAUAACGGAUGCGAAGAAGAACAAAAGGCCUUGGACACGUAAUGGAUCCUGAAGCACGAUUUCUGCGUCCCCCUGACCAAAACCUCCCACAUUAGGAUUGCUUGUUAAUGGUUGAUCAAUCUUGAUGGAUUCCCCCCUCUGAAACAAGAAGUUCUGGUCCGNNNNNNNNNNNNNNNNNNNNNNNNNNNNNNNNNNNNNNNNNNNNNNNNNNNNNNNNNNNNNNNNNNNNNNNNNNNNNNNNNNNNNNNNNNNNNNNNNNNNGCUGCACUUUAGAAUAUUUUUUAGUAUUUUUCG